UUGCGAAUCUUCUCGCCGGAUUGACUGUACCGUGGUCAUUGCCGGGCUAGACAUUCGCUAGAUUAUUACUAGCUAGUGUCCUCAGAGCUGGUGUUGUCUGUCUGGUUCUGGUGUUUUCAAUGCUAGUAACAUAU